rnacentral:rRNA from 1 species
UACGUAGGGACCAAGCGUUGUUCGGAUUUACUGGGCGUAAAGGGCGCGUAGGCGGCGUGACAAGUCACUUGUGAAAUCUCUGGGCUUAACCCAGAACGGCCAAGUGAAACUGUUGCGCUAGAGUGCAGAAGGGGCAAUCGGAAUUCUCGGUGUAGCGGUGAAAUGCGUAGAUAUCGAGAGGAACACCUGAGGUGAAGACGGGUUGCUGGGCUGACACUGACGCUGAGGCGCGAAAGCCAGGGGAGCAAACGGG